AGCACUGUCCCCGGAGGGCUACAACUGAGGCAGCAAAACAAAGAGGAAUUUUUAAAAAAAAACACAGCGUUGAGGAUAACUGAAGAAUUUGAAAGCAUGUCGGACUCCAAAGAUCAUAUAUACAGGAUUUUGCAAACAACGACCUUCUGCAGUCAUUAAUACCAGCAUACUUACAGCAAAACCCCAUGUUUGCACAGUACAUGAGGACUUUCACCUGGGACCCUGUAGUAAAUGGUUCCUCCUCCGCUACCAUGGAUCUUCCAGUCCCUUGAAUGCAUUUCAAGGAGAGAGGAGACUUCUUGAGUAGCUUAAAGCAAGGAAUCACAGUGAGGCGAUGGUUUGGAGUUGGGUGAAUGGCACCAAAGCCUAAUGAUGAACAUCCUGAGUGUCCCCCGAGUCCCACUUUCCGUUUCUGAGUGACUGGUCUGAUGUCUGCAAGGCCUCUUUAAUGGGACAUCAAACCUGGAGCCGGUAGAGGGAAGAACAUCACACACACACACACCACACACACACACACAUACCCACACACACACACACACACACACACACACACACACACACACACACAGGAAGAGCAGGACUGGUCUUCAAGAAGACAUUCUGGAUUGAUCAGAGGCCUCAGCCCUUCACAGCCUUCCCACACUAUGGCACAGCCAGAGAAAUGUCUUAUCAUAAAUGUAGUAAUGAAGCUCGACGGGAAGAACACACAACCACUCAACUUGAUCUGUUUCGCCUUAAACAUUUAGCACAGGGAAAGAAUGA